UACGUAGGUGGCGAGCGUUGUCCGGAUUUACUGGGCGUAAAGAGCGCGCAGGCGGUCUUGUAAGUCGAAUGUGAAAGCCCCUGGCUCAACCAGGGAGGGUCAUUCGAUACUGCUCGACUUGAAGGCAGGAGAGGGAAGCGGAAUUCCCGGUGUAGUGGUGAAAUGCGUAGAUAUCGGGAGGAACACCAGUGGCGAAGGCGGCUUUCUGGCCUGUUCUUGACGCUGAGGCGCGAAAGCUAGGGGAGCAAACAGG
rnacentral:rRNA from 1 species